UGCUAACCGCGUUAGGGAUUGCUAUGAAAAUCCUUUUGCUUUUUCUGCAAAAGAUUGAAAUGUAAAGCCCGACCUUUA
rnacentral:sRNA from 1 species